rnacentral:rRNA from 1 species
CAGCCGCGGUAAUACGGAGGGUGCGAGCGUUAAUCGGAAUGACUGGGCGUAAAGCGCGCGUAGGCGGCUUGGUAAGCCGGUUGUGAAAGCCCCGGGCUCAACCUGGGAAUGGCAUCCGGAACUGUCAGGCUAGAGUGCAGGAGAGGAAGGUAGAAUUCCCGGUGUAGCGGUGAAAUGCGUAGAGAUCGGGAGGAAUACCAGUGGCGAAGGCGGCCUUCUGGACUGACACUGACGCUGAGGUGCGAAAGCGUGGGUAGCAAACAGGAUUAGAUACCCUGGUAGUCCACGCCGUAAACGAUGUCGACUAGCCGUUGGGGUCCUCGAGACCUUUGUGGCGCAGUUAACGCGAUAAGUCGACCGCCUGGGGAGUA